GGGUUAAGUCCCGCAACGAGCGCAACCCUUGUUAUUAGUUGCCAGCAUUUAGUUGGGCACUCUAAUGAGACUGCCGGUGAUAAACCGGAGGAAGGUGGGGACGACGUCAGAUCAUCAUGCCCCUUAUGACCUGGGCAACACACGUGCUACAAUGGGAAGUACAACGAGUCGCAAACCGGCGACGGUAAGCUAAUCUCUUAAAACUUCUCUCAGUUCGGACUGGAGUCUGCAACUCGACUCCACGAAGGCGGAAUCGCUAGUAAUCGCGAAUCAGCAUGUCGCGGUGAAUACGUUCCCGGGUCUUGUACACACCGCCCGUCAAAUCAUGGGAGUCGGAAGUACCCAAAGUCGCUUGGCUAACUUUUAGAGGCCGGUGCCUAAGGUAAAAUCGAUGACUGGGAUUAAGUCGUAACAAGGUAGCCGUAGGAGAACCUGCGGCUGGAUCACCUCCUUUCUAAGGA
rnacentral:rRNA from 1 species